rnacentral:rRNA from 1 species
AUUGAACGCUGGCGGCAUGCCUAACACAUGCAAGUCGAGCGGAGCGGCGGAAGGGUGGUGACUACCUAGGAAUCUGCCUGGUAGUGCGUGAUAACGAUCGGAAAAGGACGCUAAUACCGCAUACUAUCAGACGAGCAUAGGUCGGACUAGCUAGUUGGUGUGGUAAUGGCUCACCAAGGCCACGAUCCGUAACUGGUCUGAGAGGAUGAGCAGUCACACUGGAACUGAGACACGGUCCAGACUCCUACGGGAGGCAGCAGUGGGGAAUAUAGGACAAUGGGCGAAAGCCUGAUCCAGCCAUGCCGCGUGUGUGAAGAAGGUCUUCGGAUUGUAAAGCACUUUAAGUAGGGAGGCGUUACCGACAGAAUAAGCACCGGCUAACUCUGUGCCAGCAGCCGCGGUAAUUC